rnacentral:rRNA from 1 species
AUUGAACGCUGGCGGCAUGCCUUACACAUGCAAGUCGAACGGUAACGCGGGGCAACCUGGCGACGAGUGGCGAACGGGUGAGUAAUACAUCGGAACGUGCCCAGUAGUGGGGGAUAGCCCGGCGAAAGCCGGAUUAAUACCGCAUACGACCUACGGGUGAAAGCGGGGGAUCGCAAGACCUCGCGCUAUUGGAGCGGCCGAUGUCAGAUUAGCUAGUUGGUGGGGUAAAGGCCUACCAAGGUGACGAUCUGUAGCUGGUCUGAGAGGACGACCAGCCACACUGGGACUGAGACACGGCCCAGACUCCUACGGGAGGCAGCAGUGGGGAAUUUUGGACAAUGGGGGCAACCCUGAUCCAGCCAUGCCGCGUGCGGGAAGAAGGCCUUCGGGUUGUAAACUGCUUUUGUACGGAACGAAACGGUCUGGGUUAAUACCCUGGGCUAAUGACGGUACCGUAAGAAUAAGCACCGGCUAACUACGUGCCAGCAGCCGCGGUAAAAC